UGAAUCAUCACCCAGCUUUCCCAGAGCCUGAAUCUGCCUUUUAUGACAUCUACUGAUUUGCUUUCUAAAGCAACGGCCGCUCGUCACCCAGCUUUCCCAGGUACAGACAGGGUGACAUGCUGGCCCUGGGCAGCCACGCCGCUCGUCACCCAGGUUUCCCAGGUACAGACAGGGUGACAUGCUGGCCCUGGGCAGCCACGCCGCUCGUCACCCAGCUUUCCCAGGUACAGACAGGGUGACAUGCUGGCCCUGGGCAGCCACGCCGCUCGUCACCCAGCUUUCCCAGGUACAGACAGGGUGACAUGCUGGCCCUGGGCAGCCACGCCGCUCGUCACCCAGCUUUCCCAGGUACAGACAGGGUGACAUGCUGGCCCAGGGCAGCCACGCCGCUCGUCACCCAGCUUUCCCAGGUACAGACAGGGUGACAUGCUGGCCCUGGGCAGCCACGCUGCUCGUCACCCAGCUUUCCCAGGUACAGACAGGCACACACAGGGAAGCGGUGCUGGCGGCUGCACAUCAGGACUGUGUCAGCGAAGUGAAACAGGAUUUGGGGCUUUUGUUCGGGAGUUUCUGUGAUACUGCGGCGCCUUCCAGCGCAGGUUCCCACGGAGGAGCUGCCUGUUUCGGGAGCUCUGGGCAGCAAGUCGCGGCUUGUCCGCUGUCACCACGCCUGCCGAGAGCG